AAACAUAUCGAGUCUGUAAUUUAAAGAAUGAGUUAAGGAAAAGAAAAAGUAACAAAGUAAUCUCCUGACAUAUGUGUACAGGAAGUAUAUAUGUAUAUAUAUGAAUGAUUAUUUGAUUAUCGAACAUUUUGUUUUCUGUGAUCUCUUUAUGUAGCUGGGUAUAAAGGUAAAAGGAGAUAUAUGUAUUGACUGCAAUUUACAAGUAAAGGUUUCGAAACUAAUCUGGAACAAUGAUCUUUCAUUUCUUUGGAUAGGACAUCUGCGUACAGUAGUAAAUGUAUUUGUUACUGAAUAUCAAGGAAUUUAUCAUUGGAUAUACGUUUUAAUGGACAUUACAUAUACCAUUGUGUUGUUCCCUUUGUUGCUUAUCUUCUGCUGCUUCUCAGUCGUUGGUGCUUGUCGAAAUUGUACACAGCAGGAUUUUAUGACUAUACAAGAGUCAUGCAAAGAGAGUGAUCAAAAUUUAAUCAGAGCACAGAAUCAAUUUUCUAAAGAAAACGAAACUUCGCUUUGCAAUUUUUUGUUUCAAUUUUAUUAUUGUGUCGGGGACCAUGUUCCAGCAUGUCUUCAACAGAUUUCAAGCAGAUAUGCAAGAUACUAUUCCUCUCCGUUUGAUUGUCAUCCAACACCGGAAGUGACGUUAAAAUUACAAAAUUAUACGAUUAAAGCGAACGAUUGCUCAAGUAAAAUUCCAAAUGACCACGAGACAACAGUCAAAUAUAACAUCAUUACAUCGUCACAGACAAGUCACAUGAGAAAACACAAUUCAUUAAAUACAACAAAUGUAGCAAUAAAAAAUGCCUCUCCUUCUGGGACAUUCCUACUGGCAGUCAGUGCAAUUAUUUCGUGUUAUUUGGAUAUAUUAUGACAGGAAGUGAGAGUUAUCUGUCGCCUAGUCACGCAUCGUUGUUCGCUUUUAAUCAAAUAAUUCAGGAAGGAAAAGAUAAUCAGAAACUCAUCAAACAGACAAAAUACCAAAUCAAAGUUCAAGAUCAGAUAUUGGGUUAAACGUUAGUGACAAGAGACUUCCGGUAGUGUUUUCCAAUAAUUCUGCACUGAGUGUAUUAUUCUGUGAUAAGCAAUGAAUGUUGUGGGAAAUCAAUAAUGGUAUUCAAUCGCUAUAAAACUGCCGGUUGCAAAUGCUAAGUUACAUUAUAUUAUGAUAAAGUUAUUUAUUUUAAUCAUCAUUUUUAAUAUAAUAGUCCCGGAUUAAUUCGCUGUUUUUAGAAUCUAAAGCAUACGGCUAAUAUAUUUUCAAAGGCGUACAACAAAAUUGUAUGCCAUGAUUGGUUAAAAAUGUCCUAUACAGUAGGAAUUCAACCAAUGACGCGACGUUAUUGUCAUUUUAAGGAUAGAAACAAUGAAAUUACCCAUAGUUCCGUGGAAUCUGAAUCGGGGAAUCGUAUUUUGCUGAAAUUGUAACAUCGAUUUGGCUGACAAAUUCUGUAAUUUUGCAAUUUCCUCAGGGAAAGUUAACACAUAAUGAUGACUUGACUUUUGUGUAGAUUCCUUUUUAGUUUUAUUGCUCCCCAUACAAAUUUACAUAUUUGGCUUUACAAACGUGGCAAUGAAAUGACGAUGGUUAUUACAUUUAGAUGCUGCGAAACAGCACAUUCGAUAAGUUAACUUUGAUAUAUCUAAGAACCACAUGCCGUGUUCUUGUCACGAAUGGAUUAAUAAAUCUAGGGCAAAAAGUUAUUCAUGACGUUUUAACUGUAGGGCAAAUAUAGUUUUAUUUAUUUAAUAUACAAAUGUUUUAUGUGGCCUUAGUUUCAAGACAUAACGUACUAAGUGAAAUACACUUACUUAAUGUAUCCUUGUCCAUUCUGAUAAUGUCUGAAAUAAGAUACUAUUCAACCGACUUGUUGACGGUAACCAACAUAUGCAUGAUAAGAAUGAAAAUCGUGAGAAUGUACUUCGAAAAAUGAGGCAUUCAAUUGUCUCUAAAGAAUACAAAUAUCGCUAAAUGCAUAAUUAUAACCCCAAACCACCAUUCUGAGUUACCCACACAUAUUUUUCAAUUGGGUUUUUGUCGUUUUCUCGACAAGACGAACGAACCAAUAUAUUAAAUGAAAAUACAAAAUUUUUAAACCUCCUCAUUUCAAACCGAAGAUUUUGCUGGAUGGUUAAAUACUAGUGAGUCAUUAUUUACUUUACCGAGAGAAAAAAACUUUAGAACUCAAUACUAAUCAACAAUCUGUACUACCUUGAGAAAAUCAAAAUUUCUUUUGUAUAAUACGUGUUCCCUACAGGUUUUUAUUUACCUCAUGACAUGUCGCAACCACCUCGUAGAUGAAUCAUAUGACCGGAAAAUCCUUUUGCUACUGUAAUAUAUAUUACAUUUACAAACAUUUUUUUCAUCUCAUCAGGUUAGAGCUUUUUCAGUUUCCGAGCCGCGUGUUGUAUGAUUGUGUUUCUGUUUACAUGAAACGAACGUCUUGCUUUUCGGACAACUGUUUGGGUUUUAUACUUUCUUUUGAAAUGCAUGGCUAUCAAUUCAAUUACUAUAAAACAAUUUAUAGUGUGAUUUUUUUGUAACAACGCCUUUAUUCUGUUGAAAGCCCUAUGUUGAAUCUCUUAAUUUCAUUUGUUUUGAUUUUUUGUGUUGUUGGGUUACUGUCUCAAUGACGUUUACACGACAUCUAGUAUCUAUAAUUAUAAUUGUGCUAUGUAUAACAUUACAUGUUGGUGUACGUGAAUAUGACAAUAACCCAAAAACUACACAAAAACACGAACUUCAAAGAUCAAUAGUGCCGAAAUUCAGAUAUAAACAUAUACACUAUUAUAUUUUAUGUUCGAGUUAAUACACGGAAACCUAGCCAUGCUAAUCAUGCGCCAUUUGCACCUUUUCAUAUCUGUACUACACCAAAAGUUGUCAUUUUGUGAUUUUGUUACAUUCCGAGUAUUAUUUUGUUAGUAUUUGAGCAAUCGUAACUACUCGGCCUUUCUCGUUACGACUAAAAUGCAUAGCGAUUAUGGCCGAGUAGCUACGAUUGAGUAUUUGAGAGAACAAAUAACGUCCAUAAAUAAUGCUUUAAUCAAAUUGUAAAUUUAUUUUUUAUUGUAUUUUGUACUUUGUUUAUGUUUGUAAAGGUUUAAUAGGUCCUUCUAGAUUGUGCUAAACUAAUGUAAGCUCAGGAGUUGUGCUAGAGUGCUGUAAAUGUGUAUGUAAAAUUGUACAGCAUACUUUUCUUCUAAUUGAACUUUUUAUAGCAUCAUAAAGGUGCUUUAUGGAAGAGGUAAUUUAACUCACCCUCCCCUUCCCCUAAUUGCUAAUCUUUUAAUCGAUACAUUGUUUUUUCUAGUUUUAUUUUUUUCUAACCUCAGUAUAUCUUGAAACAUCGAAGGGUCCAAUUAUUGCUGUUACCUGCGUGCUAUAAUAGUCCUUAAUGUAUGUUUGCCCUGUCCUGUUGAAAUUCGUAUACUUUGUUGAAAUUUCAGCAAUAAAUUAAAUAAAAAUCAAUUAGUACUUCAUGUAAGCCUUUGUCCAGUAUUAAAUCUUAUACUAACAAGACAACCGUUUUGUUAUUGCACUUUCAAGAAAUAAAUUUCUAAAAUUUUAAAUUUACGUUAUGUUUAACCUUUGUUUCCUAUUUUGGGAAGAAGCAUUAGUUCGUUUCAAUGGAAUAAAAAUGCUGAAAAACAGUUAACACUUUAAUACAUGUGUAACAUGUUAUUUAUAUAUAUGUUGUGUACAAGAGGGUUUUUGUACAAGUUAUAAGUUUUUUGACACAUAACUUCUUGCACCAGGUAAUAAAAGUAUAUCUUCCAAAAUGUUUCAGUUUAAUGUCUUAAAUUCUAAUUUAUAUACUAGUACUUCAACCCUGCAUUUAGUGCUAUUUCCCUUGUCCUCAAACUUGAAAUGAAGAUAACUGAAUAGUUUAAAUUCUAAUUUUUGUCGAGCCUUCGACUUUUGUCGAAAAAGCGAGACAUAGCGAUCCUACAUUCCGUCGGCGUCGGCGUCGUCGUCGUCGUCGUCGUCGGCGGCGUCCACAAAUAUUCACUCUGUGGUUAAAGUUUUUGUAAUUUUAAUAACUUUCUUAAACUAUCCUGGAUUUCUACCAAACUUGGAGAGAAGCUUGUUUAUGAUCAUAAGAUAACAUCCAAAAGUAAAUUUUGUAAAAAAAAAAUUCCAUUUUUUCCGUAUUUUACUUAUAAAUGGACUUAGUUUUUUUGCCAGUAAACAUUACAUUCACUCUGUGGUUAAAGUUUUUGAAAUUUUAAUAACUUUCUUAAACUAUCCUGGAUUUCUUCCAAACUUGGACAGAAGCUUGUUUAUGAUCAUAAGAUAGUAUCCAGAAGUAAAUUUUGUAAAAAAAAAAUCGUUUUUUCAGUAUUUUACUUAUAAAUGGACUUAGUUUUUCUGCCAGUUAACAUUACAUUCACUCUAUGGUUAAAGUUUUUGAAAUUUUAACAACUUUCUUAAACUAUCUUGGAUUUGUACCAAACUUGGACAGAAGCUUGUUUAUGAUUAAAAGCUAGUAUCUAGAAAGAAAUUUUGUUAAAAUUUUGUUCCAUUUUGUCCGUAUUUUACUUAUAAAUGGACUUAGUUUGUUUUCCAGUUAACAUUACAUACAGUCUGCAGUUUAAGUUUUUAAAACAUUUAUUAGAUUCAUAAACUAUCCUGGAUUUUUACCAAACUUGGACAGAAGCUACUUACAAUCAAAAGAUAGUAUAGAGAGGAAUAUUUUUAUUAAAUUUUUUCCUCUUUUUUGUUGAGCCUGCGAUUAACAGCAAAAGUAGGCGAGACACUGGGUUCCGCCGAACCCUUACGAAUUUUUAUUUUUCUACUCAUACCAAAGUCAUAUCCAUAACAAGUAUUUGUGUGUUCUAAUAAUGUCUUUUGUAUCAAUGCUCAGUAUUAGACUGUAUCAUGUAGUUGUGAAAAUUUGACAGAAAUAUGCGAAACAAAAGACUGUGUGCUUGCAUCAUCCAUUUGUGUUAAGCGGUUCAUAAAACACUGAUAACUUGUACAAAAUAUAUGUACAAAUUAUAAUUUGUACAACAUUACAACUUGUACACAACAUAUAUAUACAUUUGUGUAUGUGUUAAUUUGACAAACCCUUUAACUUCUUCUGUUCCUUUUACUUCAAAAAUACUUUACUAUAAAUUUAAUAAAAUUACAUAAUUCAUAUUUUCAAUUUGAAGUAAGAAACAGUGUAUCUUAUUGGUAACACAAACUAUUUGUACUGAGAUUUAACAAAAUAAUCUCUUAUCAACAGCUGAAUGAAACUAUUUGAUUGAUUACUAUAUUAAACUACUUUAUUUUGUCUAUUCUAGUGGUUCAAAACACAGGCACUAAAUGAACUCUUUUUUUGUCCAAACGACUAGUCUCGCUUGAAUAUUCUAGAGUACGUUCUAACGUUGGAAUCUUUUCACCAAAUCUUAAGCCUUUUCAUAGACUGUGGUAACAGUUCAUGUCUGUAAAUAUUUGAAGUAUUGACUGUGUUCUAUUUUAAAAUCUGUUUCUACAAUUACUUUUCAAUCGAAUGAACCCUAUAUGUACAUGUACCGCUGCUUCAAGUAGCCAGUAUGGCAGUACUAAAACGAUUUUUUUAAUGUAAUUUACCAAUCUAUGAAUUGCGUAACUUCCUCACAUAGUUGUCUUCAGACGAUUUUCGGUGAGGUCCUUUUGAUUUUGCUGCUAAUCUUUUUGUAUAUGCUGCUUCUAGGUCGUUUAUGUCAUGGCAGUGAGACCAUUAUCAUACAUCAAUAUCAUCUUACAGUUUCCAAUUUGUAUAAUUAUUGUAUUUUUUUUUUUUUGUUCUUUAAAAAGUUGUUUAUUAAAAUUAUUUUAAUUACUAAUUUUUGAGUGAAUGAAAUAUAUCACAUUAUAUAUUAAUUACACAAUAUAUUACGUCGUUUAACUGACGUCUUUGGGCAUAUGUUAUUUUAAGAUAACAUAUUUUUUUUUCUGAAUUAAGAUAUGGUAAAAAAAACCGUGAUCAUUGUAAUAUCAUUGUACACAUGACAUGUUGCUUACGCUCCUGUGAUUUUUGUUGAUUGUUCAAAUAUGAUUUAAAUUUGUUAUAUUAUUUUUGUAAUGAAAUUAAAUGAAAGUUCAAAACACCAAA